UACAGAGGGUGCGAGCGUUAAUCGGAAUUACUGGGCGUAAAGCGCGCGUAGGCGGCUUUGCAAGUCGAGUGUGAAAUCCCCAGGCUUAACCUGGGAACUGCAUUCGAGACUGCAUAGCUAGAGUAUGGGAGAGGGAAGUGGAAUUUCAGGUGUAGCGGUGGAAUGCGUAGAUAUCUGAAGGAACAUCAGUGGCGAAAGCGACUUCCUGGACCAAUACUGACGCUCAUGUGCGAAAGCGUGGGGAGCAAACAGG
rnacentral:rRNA from 1 species